GUGCUCACUUGACAGCACAUAUACUAAAAUUGGAACAAUACAGAGAUUAGCAUCUCCCCUGCACAAGGAUGACAUGCAAAUUCGUGAAGCAUUUCAUAUUUUG
ensembl:snRNA U6 U6 spliceosomal RNA